UACGAAGGGGGCUAGCGUUGCUCGGAAUCACUGGGCGUAAAGGGUGCGUAGGCGGGUCUUUAAGUCAGGGGUGAAAUCCUGGAGCUCAACUCCAGAACUGCCUUUGAUACUGAGGAUCUUGAGUUCGGGAGAGGUGAGUGGAACUGCGAGUGUAGAGGUGAAAUUCGUAGAUAUUCGCAAGAACACCAGUGGCGAAGGCGGCUCACUGGCCCAUUUCUGACGCUCAGGCGCGACAGCGUGGGGAUCAAACAGG
rnacentral:rRNA from 1 species